GAUGAACGCUGGCGGCGUGCCUAAUACAUGCAAGUCGAGCGAACAGACGAGGAGCUUGCUCCUCUGACGUUAGCGGCGGACGGGUGAGUAACACGUGGAUAACCUACCUAUAAGACUGGGAUAACUUCGGGAAACCGGAGCUAAUACCGGAUAAUAUAUUGAACCGCAUGGUUCAAUAGUGAAAGACGGUUUUGCUGUCACUUAUAGAUGGAUCCGCGCCGCAUUAGCUAGUUGGUAAGGUAACGGCUUACCAAGGCAACGAUGCGUAGCCGACCUGAGAGGGUGAUCGGCCACACUGGAACUGAGACACGGUCCAGACUCCUACGGGAGGCAGCAGUAGGGAAUCUUCCGCAAUGGCCGAAAGCCUGACGGAGCAACGCCGCGUGAGUGAUGAAGGUCUUCGGAUCGUAAAACUCUGUUAUUAGGGAAGAACAAAUGUGUAAGUAACUAUGCACGUCUUGACGGUACCUAAUCAGAAAGCCACGGCUAACUACGUG
rnacentral:rRNA from 1 species